GGUCUUGUAGUGUAGCGGUUAUCACUCUGGAUUUUGAUUCCAGUAACCCCAGUUCGAAUCUGGGCAAGACCU